AUUACUAUUUCUUUCCGCAUCAAUCUCUCUCUCUCUCUAGUCUUUCUCUCUCUCUGCGCGCGCGCAACUUUCAUGUCGCUGCAUUGGCUUAUGCAGUUAUGAAUUGUAUGCAGCGCUUGGUGUAUUUCCGUCACUCUGAUGUCUUGAAAAGAACGAUUGCUAUUAACUAUGGCGAACAACCUAAGGCGCUUCCGAAGUCGAUGAGGGAAACUUAAGUGAUUCCUUUGGGUGGUUAAUUAGCUUCUAAAAUGCACGAGUGAAGAUAAAAAACUGGAGACAUUGGGGUCUGAAGGUAAUAGCAUAAAUAAGUGCUUGAAUAGUUGGCUGACAUUGGAGUUCCAUUCAUAGUCUGUAAGACGAAUGGAGAAAGUAUUUGAACAUGUCAGUUUGGAAAUUUCAUUUUGUAUCUUUUGAUCCUUGGGUUUGGAGACAAUUUUAGGAAGUGCAUCUUUUCAUGCAAUAUCUGUUAUCGGAUUUUCAAACCUUAUUAAACCGUCCACUUGGCCUUUUCAGCAACUUGAGAUGACUUAGGGUAUAAAUCUUUUACAUUGUCUUCUUUUAGGUAUUGGUGAUUUCGUUGCAUAGUUUGUUGAUUGUGAAACCGCUGAAUGGAGAUAUAUUGACAUGCCUGUUAACUUCUAAGCUAUAGUAUAAGGUGUGUCGUGUAUCAUGUAUCGCAUAAGGUAUUAAUUUGCAACUUAUUCUAUGAUUUUCUGAGUAAA